AUGUUAUUAGAGAAGCCGGUAGAAAUCUCAAUGUCUGCAAUUUAUUUAAUAUUCCUUACCUUCUCAUCUUCUUCAACCUUAAAUAAAGUAAACCUACUUGUGUGAUUAUUUGUUGGUUGAUAACUAGCUUGAUGUCUUGUUUGGUUAUAAUCUACUUGUAUUCAGUGACUAAAAUUAAUUCUUUUUCUUUUGUCAUGAAGGCUAUAUUGCAGCUAACAGAAUCAGGUUCAUUUUUCCUCCAGGUUGAUUUGUUUAAAGUACGUGGGAAGUUUGCCUUAUCAUAUGUUUAUGAAGAUCGCUUUUUACUCUGCAAAGGGAAAAUUCUUCUAGUCACUCAUCGAAGAUUGAUACUGUGGCAAGUAAGUUAG
rnacentral:lncRNA from 1 species